AGGCGCGGGCCGCAGCUUCCGGAGGCGCGCGGUGGGCGGGCGCACCGGGCUCAUUUGCAUGGGCGCCGGUGAGCCGGGCGUCGCGGGAGGGCGCGACUUUCCCCUGGAGGCGGCGCGGGGCGGCCCGAGAGCGCGCCCGCCUGCACGUGUACCUCCCCCAACUCCGCGGGGGAACGUACCCGCUCACCCCAAGCGGACCCGGGCGGGCCGUGGGCUGCUCGAGGGCGGAUCUCAAAUUCUGCGAUGGGUGAAUCCUGUGGGGCUGGCUCCGCCCUUAGAGUCGCGACCGCGAGUCCCGGGGCCACCGGCACAACUCUGCCCUCCCUGCUUGUGGGACAGGGCACAGGAUCGCGCCGGAUCCCGGGCCAGAACUCCCUGAGGCCCGAAUCAUGGGGGCUCCCAGUAACUUUGGAGUGAAUGACUGCUGAAGACCCCUGACUCGUGUGAGUAGAGCUCCUAAGAGAUGAACUCAUAAACCAGAGUUGGGAGCAUCCACUUCAUGCCUCCAGUCCCACCCAGAGGACACGAUUUCCAACAAGCUCAGUACUAAUUUUCCUACUGGCCACUGCAUGUGAUCAUUUGUGGACAUCCGUGUCCCCUUGGAUCUUUCAGCAGAAAUUGUGGCUCCUCUGCUGACACCCUGGCCUGGACUCCCUAACACUGCCUCUUCUUCCCGUGUGGCCACUACCCACAAGCCAGCAGAGAUGCAAGAUGCCAGAGUUCCCAUGUGAUCUUUGCAGAUCAUCCCGUCCCAGACUAAAUUUACAAUGUGCUUAUGGAGCCAGAAGAAUGUUACUGCAGAAACAACUGAAGGAAAAUUAGGUAUGUGGAGUUUUAUUCGAGAAUGCAAAUGUAUAACUUACUCAGAAUAAUCUGGAAGUUGCUCUUCACCUCUUGAGCCUACUAAGUGAAUUCAAUCUCAAAUACUACAAUGAGUUCAAUUCCAAAUUCAAUUUGAAGAUUUUACAAUGCAGUUGUGCAAAAAUCCUCCUCACAGUUAAUAUUUGCAGCUAGCACUGUAGAAACAAGAACCUUUUUUACGGUGGUGGGCGAGAGCAUCAAAAGACAGAAAAUACAUUCUCGACAUCAGAGUUUAGCAUAAUGGGUUUUUAUUCUUUUUAAACCAUGAAAACAUGUCUUCAGCCUAUCCACUGAAAUAAAACUCCUGGGAUGUUAAAUUUCAUGGUGAAACUUGAAAUGCCUUCAAAGGAUAAAAGACUUUUUCCUGUCUCUCAUUCACCAACAGAAUUCAGCUCCUCCUUGUGGCUACAUACUAUAAUUGCUUCUUAGAGACUCCCCAAGGGAAAUUACUUUAAGAUAUUCUUCCCUCAAGUACAACUUAGACAUUUCAAAUUUUUGAAGUUUAUCAACAAAACCACAACCAGGGUGGGCUACUUCACUCAUACCAUAUUUAUUACUUGCUAGUUUUUAUGGAGUGAUAAAAACAAAUUCAAAAGUAGAAGAGCUCCAACUUAAGUUUCUAUCAAAAUAUUCUUUCCCCAAACUAGAAGCCUUAAGUAGAACCUCAGAGGGUAAAAGGAAACAAAGACAAAGAGCUUCUGCCACGGAAGACAGCCCAGCUGAUCCCUGACAAAGCGAAAGAACUGAGGUGAUAUGUAAAGAGAUUAAAGGAUCAGACUGUGUCACCUUUUGCAGAAGGCUUUGGAAAGCCACUUAUUAUCAAGAACCCAACACUGGUCAAGCUAAGCCAUCGAGAGACUUGCAGUUGGGAGCCCAAAGAUGCCUUUAGUUGACAAGGACAGGUCAAAGAGAAUUCAGCAUGAGAAGUUAAAAUGGCCAGGAUCGACAGCCAACCAAUCACCUGUGGGGGAGCCUGAAGAAUCAUCAAGAACUGCAGCAAUGAAAACAACAUUCUGAAUUAUUUGCUCCGAAUAAUGCUGGCAAUAGGGAGGAAUGGAUUAAAGCAACCAAAUGACCUAUUAGUUUUACAAGACGAUAAUUGCAGAUUAAAAACCUCUGACAUCUCCUGAGAAAAUACUAACAUUAAUAUUCCUAUUAUUUUCCUUUCUGUGCCCCUUUGGUCAUAUUUUACAUAGUUUUGAACUCUGGCGAAGAACUAUACUGUAAUGUCUCAAAGUUCACAAAUUAACAAACAAGACUGUUGAGCAAAUUACAAACCACACUGACUUUUCUAGCUAGCACAAAGAGAUUUUUUUUUUACCUGUGCAGGUGUGUCUGUUUCAUUGAUUGGCUGCCCAUCAAAUCGGAAUCUGAUCUGCCUCAUUGACAAACCCUACAAGAGAGUUUAAAAACAGUAAGAAUGCAAAGAAAACAGUAAAAACUGAAACCACAUGCAUAUUUAGCCACAAAUAUAUUAAAAGAGGGACCCAAAUAAAUAAUCAAUACAUUAACAUUUCUAUGUGGAUAAAAAGAUUUGGUAGGAUUUUCACUUUCUUUGAACCAUGUUUGUUUUUCUUUGGAAAAGUGAUCUUUUUUUAAAAAAAGGUCUUUUUAAAAAAGCUGUUUUGCUUUUGAGAUCCAAGCUUGGAUAGAUCAUAUACCUUGAGUCAAACAGUACAUAUCAAUGAGUUAGAAAAAUAUUGAAAAGAAAUUUAAAGUUAACAGAUACAGCAACAUUCUUCCAUCCAUGUUAAAGAGCUCUCCAAAUGGGGGGGGAAAACACCCUUCAUAAUGAAAACUGGAAUUCACCUAAGUAAGUGUAAAGAUUAAGUUUGCCUUAAAGCCACUUUACCUUCAUUUCUAUCCAAACAGCUCCUACCGCUAAGCAAAAGUAACCUGUGUCCCAACCCAGCACCAUGCUAGGGACACCACAGGAAUUCAACAAGUUUUUACCCUCGGGCAGGCAGGACAUUCCCACUAGAACUGUCCUAAAAUCAUUCAUAAGCACACAAGCUUGGAACUAUGGAAUAGUUCAAAAGAAACGCCUGCUUUGUAAAUUCCAUUUUAGUACUUACCCAGACCAACAAUUACUAUUUGUCAACCUCACUCCAAAGUAAGCUCCAAGAGGGACAAGAACCUAAGACUGUCUUGGUUAUACUGUAUUCCUCGCACAUAGUUGGUACUCACGGGUAUAAGUUACUGAUGGAAUAAAAUGGAUGAAAUGCAGUAUCAUGAUUCGUUUUACCAUGAUUUGUUUUAUUUAAAAGUACACCUAAAACUAAGUUAAGGAGUAGCUUCAUUACAAAAAGAGAAUUUAGAAUUUAUAUUACCAGAGUUUAGCUUCAAGAAACUUUUAUGUUUUUAAGGAGAUAAAUGAGCCUGAGCAUGCCCCUUCUGCAAAGCAGAUUCCGAUGUUGUACUCAUCAUUACCUACCUGACACAGGGGUAGGAAGAAGGGGAAAGGAGCAAAAGCAGCAAAGCUGUUGGGAACUGCAGCCAAAUGAAGAUAGGAAAAUAAACUAUCUUUGGAGAUAUGUAUGGAGAUAAUAUGUGUACAUAUUAACUGGAAAAAUAGCAUAGGAAGCAUCCUACAAAAAAAAAUCACUCCUG